rnacentral:tRNA from 1 species
GGGCCGGUAGCUCAGCCUGGUAGAGCGCUUGACUUUUAAUCAAGCGGUCGUGGGUUCGAAUCCCUCCCGGCCCG